UGGCUCAGGAUGAACGCUAGCGGCAGGCUUAACACAUGCAAGUCGAGGGGUAUAAGUCUUCGGAUUUAGAGACCGGCGCACGGGUGCGUAACGCGUAUGCAAUCUACCUUUUACAGAGGGAUAGCCCAGAGAAAUUUGGAUUAAUACCUCAUAGCAUAGCAGCUUCGCAUGAAGCCACUAUUAAAGUCACAACGGUAAAAGAUGAGCAUGCGUCCCAUUAGCUAGUUGGUAAGGUAACGGCUUACCAAGGCUACGAUGGGUAGGGGUCCUGAGAGGGAGAUCCCCCACACUGGUACUGAGACACGGACCAGACUCCUACGGGAGGCAGCAGUGAGGAAUAUUGGACAAUGGGCGCAAGCCUGAUCCAGCCAUGCCGCGUGCAGGAUGANGGUCCUAUGGAUUGUAAACUGCUUUUAUACGAGAAGAAACACUACUUCGUGAAGUAGNCUUGNACGGUAUCGUAAAAAUAAGGGAUCG
rnacentral:rRNA from 1 species